UCCUGGCGGGUCUCAGGUUCUGCAGGCUUGGCAGAGGCCAUCUCUGCCGCGACGACGCCUGCGGCCUCGGCCUCGGCCUCGGGAGAGCGGGAUGCAGCAGAGCCAGUCCAUCCCUCCUCCGUCCUCUCCUGGACUGGACCAGGAUGGCGGUGACUCUGUGGACUGCCUCGGGGAGCAUGGUCCUUGGGCUACUAUAGGCUCUUGCAAUCCAAGAGCAAGGUGUGUCUUGCCAUCAGUUUGCGUCCUCUGGGAUUGCUUGCAUCAGCAUCUGGGGGGUUCUGCGUCUCUCCAGGGAGGUCUCUUCCUCAGCCGUCU